GAUGAACGCUAGCGAUAGGCCUAACACAUGCAAGUCGAGGGGCAGCACAUGAAGUAGCAAUACAGAUGGUGGCGACCGGCGCACGGGUGAGUAACACGUAUGCAACCUACCUUCCACAGGAGAAUAACCCGUUGAAAAACGGACUAAUACUCCAUAAUACAGGGGUCCCGCAUGGGAAUAUUUGUUAAAGAUUUUUUCGGUAGAAGAUGGGCAUGCGUUCCAUUAGCUAGUUGGUUGAGGUAACGGCUCACCAAGGCAACGAUGGAUAGGGGAACUGAGAGGUUUAUCCCCCACACUGGUACUGAGACACGGACCAGACUCCUACGGGAGGCAGCAGUGAGGAAUAUUGGUCAAUGGAGGCAACUCUGAACCAGCCACGUCGCGUGAAGGAUGACGGCCCUACGGGUUGUAAACUUCUUUUAUACAGGAAUAAAGUGAGUCACGUGUGACUUUUUGCAUGUACUGUAUGAAUAAGGAUCGGCUAACUCCGUGCCAGCAGCCGCGGUAAUACGGAGGAUCCAAGCGUUAUCCGGAUUUAUUGGGUUUAAAGGGUGCGCAGGCGGAAGAUUAAGUCGGCGGUGAAAUUUUGCAGCUCAACUGUAAAAGUGCCAUCGAUACUGGUUUUCUUGAGUGUGGAUGAAGUAGGCGGAAUUUGUGGUGUAGCGGUGAAAUGCAUAGAUAUCACGAGGAACUCCGAUUGCGCAGGCAGCUUACUAGGCCAUAACUGACGCUCAGGCACGAAGGCGUGGGGAUCAAACAGGAUUAGAUACCCUGGUAGUCCACGCAGUAAACGAUGAUUACUCGCUGUUUGCGAUACACAGUAAGCGGCUUAGCGAAAGCGUUAAGUAAUCCACCUGGGGAGUACGUUCGCAAGAAUGA
rnacentral:rRNA from 1 species